rnacentral:rRNA from 1 species
CAGCCGCCACGGUAAAACGAAGGGUGCAAGCGUUAAUCGGAAUUACUGGGCGUAAAGCGUGCGUAGGCGGUGAGUUAAGUCUGCUGUGAAAUCCCCGGGCUCAACCUGGGAAUGGCAGUGGAUACUGGCUCGCUAGAGUGUGUCAGAGGAUGGUGGAAUUCCCGGUGUAGCGGUGAAAUGCGUAGAGAUCGGGAGGAACAUCAGUGGCGAAGGCGGCCAUCUGGGACAACACUGACGCUGAGGCACGAAAGCGUGGGGAGCGAACAGGAUUAGAUACCCCAGUAGUCCCUGUCUCUUAUAC